rnacentral:rRNA from 1 species
CUGUACUAAGGUAGCAUAAUAAUUUGUCUUAUAAAUUAAGACUAGAAUGAAUGGUUUGACGAAAAUUAUUCUGUCUCUAUUAUAAUUAUUAGAAAUUAAUGUUUAUAGUGAGAAAGCUUAAAUAUUUUAAAGGGACGAGAAGACCCUAUUGAGCUUAAUAUUAAAAUAUAAAUUUUGUUAGUAAUAAAUUAAUAAAGUUUAUUAAUUUUAAAUUUUGAUUGGGGUGAUCGAGGAAUAUAAAUAAUUAAAUUUAACUUCCUAAUAUUAUAUAUUUAUAAAUAAAGAAACCAAAUAUUUUGCUUAGAAGGAAGUUACCAUAGGGAUAACAGCGUGAUUUUUUUAAAGAGUUCAUAUUAAAAAAAAAGAUUGCGACCUCGAUGUUGGAUUAAAAUUACCUUUAGGUGCAGAAGCUUAAAUAGGUAAAUCUGUUCGAUUUUUAAAA